UGAAAAUGUGUUUUUAAAUUAUAACAAAGCAGGAGAAAAAUCCUCCAUCUACGCAAGAGCAUCAACCACACGCAACGUCAAACGGCCGGGCUGCACAACCACAGAUAAACAGCUGGAGCCUUUUGCUCAGUUUUUAGGACCGACCUCCAGCUGUGCUUCGCCCAGAAGGAAGAGGAGAGCGAUAAGGGGAGGAAGAGUAACGUGAGGUAACCGAUCAUCAUCAUCAUCAUCAUCAUCAUCAUUAUCCACGCUACCCACGUGUCCAGCCGCUCGCUGCUCCUGCAGCCCGCCGAGCACAUGAGCAGCCAUAACAACACUAACUGCCUGAGAGCUCACUCUUCCUCCGAGUGGCUGCGUGCCGCUUUGUGCCUUAAGAGCCCGUCUGUGUUCCCGUCUUAAAUCGAUCUAUCUGCCACAUUCCAAACCUACAAAAGGCGCCGCUCCCAUUCAUGAAUAAUGUGCAUGAGGUGCAGGGGGAUGUGGGCUACUGUUUCUUUGUGUGUCUAUACGCGGGCCGGGGGGCUGGACCUCUUCAGCCUCCCGGAGGUCCGGGACAUCUGACCCCCGGCGCUGUUAAACCUCACGUGAUGGAGGUGAAGAAGAAGCGCUGACUGAGGAGUGUGUUUCCAUCCUCCUCCAUCCCUCAACGCGUCUCAUCAUCCUCUGUCUUUUAUUCCUCC
ensembl:lncRNA